rnacentral:rRNA from 1 species
UGAGUGACAAUUCCGCGCCCUGACGAAAUAGGGCGUUAAAAGAUGUAGGUAUAUUUUCUAUAGGCAAAUCCGUAGAGAAUGCUGAAGUCCAACAGUACCAGGAGGCUCCGGCCGAAUGGAUAGAGAAUGUAAGCAGACUUCCGAGAAAAUCUUCUAAGCAUAUUGAUACGGUACCCGUACCGCAAACCGACACAGGUAGUCAAGGAGAGAAUCCUGAGGUGCUCGAGUGAGUCAUGGCUAAGGAACUAGGCAAAUUAAACCUGUAACUUCGGGAAAAGGGUUGCCUCUCUUUAGCAAUAAAGAAGGUCGCAGAGAAAUGGCCCAGGCGACUGUUUAACAAAAACACAUGGCUAUGCGAAAUCGUAAGAUGAAGUAUAUGGCCUGACACCUGCCCGGUGCUGGAAGGUUAAGGGGGGAAGUUAGUCGCAAGGCGAAGCUUUGAACUGAAGCCCCAGUAAACGGCGGCCGUAACCAUAACGGUCCUAAGGUAGCGAAAUUCCUUGUCGGGUAAGUUCCGACCUGCACGAAUGGUGUAACGAUCUGGGCACUGUCUCAGCCAUGAGCUCGGUGAAAUUGUAGUCACGGUGAAGAUGCCGUGUACCCGUCACGGGACGGAAAGACCCCAUGCACCUUUACUAUAGCUUCGCAUUGACAUUGGGUAGAUGAUGUGUAGGAUAGGUGGGAGGCGUUGAUCCUGUGCCGCUAGGUAUAGGGGAGCCAACGGUGAAAUACCACCCUUUAUUUAUCUGAUGUCUAAUCCGCAAGACCUGCGGAGACAGUGCGUGGUGGGUAGUUUGACUGGGGUGGUCGCCUCCGAAAGUGUAUCGGAGGCUUUCAAAGGUAUGCUCAAUACGCUUGGUAACCGUAUGUGGAGUGCAAUAGCAUAAGCAUGCUUGACUGUGAGACUGACAAGUCGAGCAGGGUCGAAAGACGGAUAUAGUGAUCCGGUGGUUCUGUAUGGAAGGGCCAUCGCUCAAAGGAUAAAAGGUACGCUGGAUAACAGGCUGAUCUCCCCCAAGAGCUCACAUCGACGAGGAGGUUUGGCACCUCGAUGUCGGCUCGUCACAUCCUGGGGCUGGAGAAGGUCCCAAGGGUUAGGCUGUUCGCCUAUUAAAGUGGCACGCGAGCUGGGUUCAGAACGUCGUGAGACAGUUCGGUCCCUAUCUGUGAUGGGCGUAGGAAGUUUGAGAGGAUCUGACCUUAGUACGAGAGGACCGGGUUGGACCAACCGCUGGUGUACCGGUUGUGGCGUCAGCUGCAUCGCCGGGUAGCUACGUUGGGACGAGAUAAGCGCUGAAAGCAUCUAAGCGCGAAACUCACCUCAAGAUGAGACUUCCAUUAAGGGACGUCAGAGACUAUGACGUUGAUAGGCUGCAGGUGUAAAGGCAGAAAUGUCAAAGCUGAGCAGUACUAAUUACCCUA